UUUUCUAGGGCUCAUGUAAACGAAACACAGUUGCUCAUGUUUAAAAAAAAAAAAACAUUUAAGUUAAUCUAUAACUUUCAGCUCUAAAACUUCUUAAAUAAAUUGAUUCUGAUAAUUGAAAUAAUCAAAGUGAUCUGAAAUAAUUGAUUUUGAUUCGCUCUGGAUUACACACGAGAUGUUGGUGGAAUUGAUUGAAAUCUUGAUUCCUUCCUGGUUUGAACUGCUCCCUUUUCCCCCUUGGUGGAAUGUGCUGGUACCCCUUGGUGGCUUUCCGGAUAAACUAUUCCGAUGUCUUCUUUCCCAGGUAUUUCAAGAAGUUUUUUGGCUGUAAUCACCCAUAAAUUGAAUACUUUGGAUUUGGAGGUUAUGUUUCGUUUUUUUGUGGCCUCUUUUUUUUUAACUAAAUACAAGAAUAUUUCUUAAUCUACGACGGAAAUACGAACGGAUUUAUCAUUGAUUAAAACAUUUUUACAAAUAACGACGAAAUCAAUGAGAACUAUAACAAACUUUUAUGAAAUUUUUCAACGAUCAGCUUUAACUAUCCUCGGUAUAUCAACUUUGAUAUCAAUACGUGAGUUGUUCUUUAUAUUUUAAUUAUAAUAUUAAUUUGAACGAUUUGAAGAAGUACUAAUAAACUCUCUAGGCUCUCGAUUUACAAGGAUUUUUCUACGGAAUGUCAUUAUUUCCUCUUUAUUGUAAUUAUUUCUUAUAACAAAACUAUUGUUUAU